ACCAAUGAAUCUUGAACAAUGAAUCUCGACCAAAUUUCCGAACGAAAACAGCAAAUCCGGACUGGAACACUCGAACGGCGAUCAACAAUAGUAAACUCGAAACAAUUACAGCUCAAUCAAAUUCCAUAAUCAAAACCAAAAUUUGAAGAAAAUUAAUGAAGAAGCAGAAUUCUCUUUUUUCUGAAUUUAAAAAUGAAAACAAAAUUUGAAUCAAGAACUUGAAUCGUUCCCUGCCUCUACUUUUUUCAUUUCUGUCCGAAGCUGCCCAAAUUCCCUCAUUCUGUCGCUAUCUGUGUAUGUAUUGUGGUCGCAGGAAUUAGAGACGGAGGUGUAGAUGGGGUCGCUGGCUAAAUGGCUGGCGGCAAUGGCUAGUAACUGCUGUUGUUGUUGGGUGUUUACCGGAUUUCCGGCUAAACACGCCGGUGGAGUUGGUUUGCGGUGGCCCCUAGGGUUUUCUUGAAGAUGGGGUCGUUAGUUCUUUUGGUGGUGAGCGGCUGUGAGUUGGGGUGGUGUGUUCGUCGGUUUAGGGUCUGGCAGUGGCUGGUCCUUGGUAUUGCCCAGGUGGGGUGGGCGGCGGCUGACUUAGAUGAUGAAGAAGGUGACAGCUUCCGGGGGGUCUGGCGGCGGCGCUGGUCUUAGGGGUUCUAAGGCUUUUUCUUGUGUUCAAGGUUGAGAAGAAGAUGAAGUAGCUAGGUGUUUUGUUGUAUUGUCUUUCUAGAUGAGGAAGAAGGCAGCUACGUCUGGUGUCUCUAAGGUUAAGGUCUCCAAAUUGUAAAAUCACGCUCCCUGGUCUUUCC
rnacentral:lncRNA from 1 species